rnacentral:rRNA from 1 species
CAUUACCUAGAGUUGUAGGCUUUGCCUGCUAUCUCUUACCCAUGUCUUUUAAGUACCUUACGUUUCCUCGGCGGGUCCGCCCGCCGAUUGGACAAUUUAAACCAUUUGCAGUUGCAAUCAGCGUCUGAAAAAACUUAAUAGUUACAACUUUCAACAACGGAUCUCUUGGUUCUGGCAUCGAUGAAGAACGCAGCGAAAUGCGAUAAGUAGUGUGAAUUGCAGAAUUCAGUGAAUCAUCGAAUCUUUGAACGCACAUUGCGCCCCUUGGUAUUCCAUGGGGCAUGCCUGUUCGAGCGUCAUUUGUACCUUCAAGCUCUGCUUGGUGUUGGGUGUUUGUCUCGCCUCUGCGUGUAGACUCGCCUCAAAACAAUUGGCAGCCGGCGUAUUGAUUUCGGAGCGCAGUACAUCUCGCGCUUUGCACUCAUAACGACGACGUCCAAAAGUACAUUUUUACACUCUUGACCUCGGAUCAGGUAGGGAUACCCGCUGAACUUAAGCAUAUCAAU